ACCCGGGGUUCUCUGAACUUACGGGAUUGCAAUGAGGACAAUUUAAACCACUUAGCGAGGAACAAUUGGAGGGCAAGUCUGGUGCCAGCAGCCGCGGUAAUUCCAGCUCCAAUAGCGUAUAUUAAAGUUGUUGCAGUUAAAAAGCUUGUAGUUGAACUUCAGGUCGUUUUCAGCUUUGGUCUCGGCCGGGCUGGGAGCGGUCUUCCGUCUGCGAACUGCAUUCGGCCUCCACUGUGUCGGUGCAGGGAGUAGGCAUUUUACUGUGAAAAAAUUAGAGUGUUUCAGGCAGGUCAUUGCCCGGAUACAUUAGCAUGGAACAAUGGAAUAGGAUUCAUGUCCAUUUGAUUGGUUAUUGGACUUGAAUAAUGAUUAAUAGGGACAGUUGGGGGCAUUAGUAUUUAAUAGUCAGAGGUGAAAUUCUUGGAUUUAUUAAAGACUAACUUAUGCGAAAGCAUUGCCAAGGAUGUUUUCAUUAAUCAAGAACGAAAGUUAGGGGAUCAAAUACGAUCAGAUACCGUAGUAGUCUUAACUAUAAACUAUACCGACUCGGGAUCGGACAGAUCUUUAAAGUCUGUUCGGCACCGUAAGAGAAAUCAAAGUCUUUGGGUUCUGGGGGGAGUAUGGUCGCAAGGCUGAAACUUAAAGGAAUUGGCGGAAGAUUACCACCAGGAUUGGAUUCUGCGGCUUAAUUUGACUCAACACGGGGAAACUUACCAGGUCAAAACUGUAGUGGGAUUGACAGAUUGAGAGCUCUUUCUUGAUUUGCAGGGUGGUGGUGCAUGGCCGUUCUUAGUUGGUGGAGUGAUUUGUCUGGUUAAUUCCGUUAACGAACGAGACCUUAACCUGCUAACUAGUCCUGAGUGAACAACGAAAGGCACUUCUUAGAGGGACUAUGCGGUUCUAAACGCAUGGAAGUUUGAGGCAAUAACAGGUCUGUGAUGCCCUUAGAUGUCCUGGGCCGCACGCGCAAUACAAUGACACGUUCAGCAAGUUUUUCCUAACUCGGAAGAGUAAGGUAAUCUUUAUAAUACGUGUCGUGUUAGGGAUCGAUCUUUGUAAUUAUAGAUCUUGAACGAGGAAUUCCUAGUAAGUGCAAGUCAUCAACUUGUACUGAUUACGUCCCUUGUCUUUGUACACACCGCCCGUCGCUCCUACCGAUUUCGAGUGAUCCGGUGAACCUUCUGGACUGAGGCUGCUCUCGAAGCAGUCGCGGGAAGUUAAGUAAACCUUAUCACUUAGAGGAAGGAGAAGUCGUAACAAGGUU
rnacentral:rRNA from 1 species